GGGCCGUCUGGAAACGGCCCUGGAAAGCCCAGGAGAGUCUGAUCUUGUCAGAUCUCAGAAGCUAAGCAGGGUCGGCCUUGGUGGAGAGGCUUCUGUGGUUUUCCUACUGCUAAUGCAGCAACAAAGGGCCUCCUACAUGAAGGGGCAGGAUUCACAAAUUUGCUUAAGAAAGAAAUCCAGCGGGUGUGACUGGGAAGCUACAGAUGAAAAGCAAAGGAAAGGGAGCCCCAAAGGCCUGAAUGGAGAGGGGAAACUGUCGGCCCGGGAAGAGAGGAAACAGAUUUAACCUGGUUUCCUCUGGCAGAGGACAAACAGGCCCGGCGCUACCUUAUGAUGCAUGAGAAUGUGUUUGCUGGCCGAGAUGCAAUAUGAACCAGCGACUUUGUGGUCCUUCUCGUCCUUUGAGCUGGUCUCCCUCCAAGGAUACAACUGCCCUUCAGCAUAUUAUUAACAAAAGACAUUCAAUAAAGCAACAGGGAGCCCUUAAACUGUGUCCCCAGCAAAGACAUCAUGGCUUGCGGCUUUAUGGUUCUUUAGUUUAAUAAUGUUUGAUUUCAUCAUUGGUUAUCUCUCCCCUUAGGAGUUUCUGAUGCUUUUCUUCUUCUUUUUGCUGAGACUGUUCCCCGGGCUGCCUAUAUGCAUCUAAGCAAGAAUUUCAGUCUGAUUCUUCAGCAGGGUCAGCAGUAUAUAAACACUUGUGGGAAUUAGCACAUUUCUUGUUCAUGUCUUUGGUGUUAUGCAAUCUCAAGCCAUCUGUGUUCGGUGAUAUUUUAUUCCUGGUUAAAAAAAAAAUUGAUCUGCUGCAUGCAGUUGGGUAGCAGUUUGGAGCUCUUAUUCUCAGAUCCAUUAUAUAAUUGGCUUAAA